rnacentral:rRNA from 1 species
ACUCAAAGGAAUUGACGGGGGCCCGCACAAGCGGUGGAUCAUGUGGUUUAAUUCGAAGCAACGCGAAGAACCUUACCUGGGCUUGACAUCUUCGGACCGUCGUGGAGACACGAUUUUCGUAGCAAUACGACCGGAAGACAGGUGCUGCAUGGCUGUCGUCAGCUCGUGUGGUGACAUGUUGGGUUAAGUCCCGCAACGAGCGCAACCCCUGUCCUUAGUUGCCAGCAUUCAGUUGGGCACUCUAAGGAGACUGCCGUGGUUAACACGGAGGAAGGUGGGGAUGACGUCAAGUCCUCAUGGCCUUUAUGUCCAGGGCGACACACGUGAUACAAUGGUCGGUACAGAGGGAUGCGAACCCGCGAGGGGGAGCUAAUCUCAAAAAGCCGAUCUCAGUUCGGAUUGGAGUCUGCAACUCGACUCCAUGAAGUUGGAAUCGCUAGUAAUCGCGGAUCAGCACGCCGCGGUGAAUACGUUCCCGGGCCUUGUACACACCGCCCGU